rnacentral:rRNA from 1 species
UACAGGGGGGGCAAGCGUUGUUCGGAAUUACUGGGCGUAAAGGGCCAGAAGGCGGCCAACUAAGUCACACGUGAAAUCCCCAGGCUUAACCUGGGAACUGCGUGUGAUACUGGAUGGCUUGAAUUCGGGAGAGGGAUGCAGAAUUCCAGGUGUAGCGGUGAAAUGCGUAGAUAUCUGGAGGAAUACCGGUGGCGAAGGCGGCAUCCUGGACCGACAUUGACGCUGAACGGCGAAAGCUAGGGGAGCAAACGGG